rnacentral:rRNA from 1 species
UACGUAGGGUCCGAGCGUUGUCCGGAAUUAUUGGGCGUAAAGCGUGCGUAGGUGGUUCGUUAAGUCUGAUGUGAAAGCCCUGGGCUCAACCUGGGAAUGGCAUUGGAUACUGGCGACCUAGAGUGCGGUAGAGGGGUGUGGAAUUCCCGGUGUAGCAGUGAAAUGCGUAGAUAUCGGGAGGAACAUCUGUGGCGAAGGCGACACCCUGGACCAGCACUGACACUGAGGCACGAAAGCGUGGGGAGCAAACAGG